CCUUUCGGGGUACACGAGCGGCGAACGGGUGAGUAACACGUGGGUGAUCUGCCCUGCACUUCGGGAUAAGCCUGGGAAACUGGGUCUAAUACCGGAUAUGACCUCAGGUUGCAUGACUUGGGGUGGAAAGAUUUAUCGGUGCAGGAUGGGCCCGCGGCCUAUCAGCUUGUUGGUGGGGUAAUGGCCUACCAAGGCGACGACGGGUAGCCGACCUGAGAGGGUGACCGGCCACACUGGGACUGAGACACGGCCCAGACUCCUACGGGAGGCAGCAGUGGGGAAUACUGCACAAUGGGCGAAAGCCUGAUGCAGCGACGCCGCGUGAGGGAUGACGGCCUUCGGGUUGUAAACCUCUUUCAGCAGGGACGAAGCGCAAGUGACGGUACCUGCAGAAGAAGCACCGGCUAACUACGUGCCAGCAGCCGCGGUAAUACGUAGGGUGCAAGCGUUGUCCGGAAUUACUGGGCGUAAAGAGUUCGUAGGCGGUUUGUCGCGUCGUUUGUGAAAACCAGCAGCUCAACUGCUGGCUUGCAGCGAUACGGGCAGACUUGAGUACUGCAGGGAGACUGG
rnacentral:rRNA from 1 species